rnacentral:lncRNA from 1 species
AUAGGUCCUCUUUGGGUUUGCUUUCUUCCUGUGUUUGCUUCAUUAUCUUUUUAGUUUGUUUGGCAUUUUACUUUUACAUUUCAUCAUUUCUAGUUUACAGUUUAGUUGACCCUUCACCAUUUUCUUAAGAUUAGAUAACACUUAGUACAGUAGUAGCUUUAGGUUCACCCGUUCCCUAGGGAUACGACCUUGAUACUCACCAUUAGUGCUAGACUAUAUUGAUAGGUUCAC